GCCCGGGUAGCUCAGCCGGUAGAGCGCCGGGCUGUGGACCCGGAGGUCCCGGGUUCAAAUCCCGGCCCGGGCC
rnacentral:tRNA from 2 species